GACGAACGCUGGCGGCGUGCCUAACACAUGCAAGUCGAGCGGGGACUUAUGGAAUGAAGCUUCGGCAGAAUGAAGUAAGUUCUAGCGGCGGACGGGUGAGUAACGCGUGAGCAACCUGCCUAUCACAGGGGAAUAACGCAUCGAAAGGUGUGCUAAUACCGCAUGAGACCACAGGACCGCAUGGUCAAGGGGUCAAAGAUUUAUCGGUGAUAGAUGGGCUCGCGUCUGAUUAGCUAGUUGGCAGGGUGAUAGCCUACCAAGGCGACGAUCGGUAGCCGACCUGAGAGGGUGAUCGGCCACAUUGGAACUGAGAUACGGUCCAA
rnacentral:rRNA from 1 species